CACGUAGGGGGCGAGCGUUGUCCGGAUUUAUUGGGCGUAAAGAGCUCGUAGGCGGUUCGGCAAGUCGGGUGUGAAAUUUCGAGGCUCAACCUCGAAACGCCACUCGAUACUGCUGUGACUGGAGUCCGGUAGAGGAGUGCGGAAUUGACAGUGUAGCGGUGAAAUGCAUAGAUAUUGUCAAGAACACCGAUUGCGAAGGCAGCUUACUAGACUGUAACUGACGCUGAGGCACGAAAGUGUGGGGAUCAAACAGG
rnacentral:rRNA from 1 species